UACGAAGGGGGCUAGCGUUGUUCGGAAUCACUGGGCGUAAAGCGCACGUAGGCGGAUCUUUAAGUCAGAGGUGAAAUCCCAAGGCUCAACCUUGGAACUGCCUUUGAUACUGGGGAUCUUGAGUCCGGGAGAGGUGAGUGGAACUGCGAGUGUAGAGGUGAAAUUCGUAGAUAUUCGCAAGAACACCAGUGGCGAAGGCGGCUCACUGGACGCGUAUUGACGCUGAGGUACGAAAGCGUGGGGAGCAAACAGG
rnacentral:rRNA from 1 species